AUUCCCCUAGUAACGGCGAGUGAAGCGGGAAGAGCUCAAAUUUGAAAUCUGGCAGCCUUUGGUUGUCCGAGUUGUAAUCUAGAGAAGCGUUUUCCGCGUUGGCCCAUGUACAAGUCUGCUGGAAUGCAGCGUCAUAGAGGGUGAGAAUCCCGUCCUUGACAUGGACUACCAAUGCUUUGUGAUACGUUUUCAACGAGUCGAGUUGUUUGGGAAUGCAGCUCAAAAUGGGUGGUAAAUUCCAUCUAAAGCUAAAUAUUGGCGAGAGACCGAUAGCGAACAAGUACCGUGAGGGAAAGAUGAAAAGCACUUUGGAAAGAGAGUUAAACAGUAUGUGAAAUUGUUGAAAGGGAAACGAUUGAAGUCAGUCGUGGGCUUUGCAUUCAGCUGGUUCUGCCAGUGUACUUGCUUUGCUCGGGGUCAACAUCGGUUUUGGUCGUCGGAAAAGGCUUGGAGGAAUGUGCCACCCCCGGGUGAACUUAUAGCCUCUUUGCUUAUACGAUGGCUGGGACCGAGGAACGCAGCUUGCCUUUAUGGCCGGGGUUCGCCCACGUACAAGCUUAGGAUGUUGACAUAAUGGCUUUAAACGACCCGUCUUAA
rnacentral:rRNA from 1 species